UACAGAGGUCCCAAGCGUUGUUCGGAUUCACUGGGCGUAAAGGGUGCGUAGGUGGCGGGGUAAGUUUGAUGUGAAAGCUCAGGGCUUAACCCUGAAAUGGCAUUGAAUACUACUCUGCUGGAGGUUUGGAGGGGGGACUGGAAUUCUUGGUGUAGCAGUGAAAUGCGUAGAUAUCAAGAGGAACACCAGUGGCGAAGGCGAGUCCCUGGACAACACCUGACACUGAGGCACGAAAGCUAGGGGAGCAAACAAG
rnacentral:rRNA from 1 species